rnacentral:lncRNA from 13 species
AUGCACUCAUACAGGCAUGCAUUCACACAUUCAUUCACUCAUUCAGUUCAUACAGGCAUGCAUUCACACAUUCAUUCACUCAUUCAACUCAUGCACUCAUACAGGCAUGCAUUCACACCUUCAUUCACUCAUUCAACUCAUGCACUCAUACGGGCAUGCAUUCACACAUUCAUUCAUUCAUUCAGUUCAUACAGGCAUGCAUUCACACCUUCAUUCACUCAUUCAACUCAUGCACUCAUACGGGCAUGCAUUCACACAUUCAUUCACUCAUUCAGUUCAUACAGGCAUGCAUUCACACAUUCAUUCACUCAUUCAACUCAUACAGACAUGCAUUCACACAUUCAUUCACUCAUUCAACUCAUACAGGCAUGCAUUCACACAUUCAUUCACUCAUUCAACUCAUACAGGCAUGCAUUCCCACAUUCAUUCACUCAUUCAACUCAUGCACUCAUACAGGCAUGCAUUCAGACAUUCAUUCACUCAUUCAGUUCAUACAGGCAUGCAUUCACACAUUCAUUCACUCAUUCAACUCAUGCACUCAUACAGGCAUACAUUCACACCUUCAUUCACUCAUUCAACUCAUGCACUCAUACAUGCAUGCAUUCACACAAUCAUUCGCUCAUUCAACUCAUACAGGCAUGCAUUCACACCUUCAUUCACUCUUUCAAUUCAUGCACUCAUACAUGCAUGCAUUCCCACAUUCGUUCACUCAUUCAACUCAUGCAGGCAUGCAUUCACGCAUUCAUUCACUCAUUCAACUCAUACAGGCAUGCAUUCACACAUUCAUUUACUCAUUCAACCCAUACAGGCAUGCAUUCACACAUUCAUUCACUCAUUCAACUCAUACAGGCAUGCAUUCACACAUUCAUUUACUCAUUCAACCCAUACAGGCAUGCAUUCACGCAUUCAUUCACUCAUUCAACCCAUACAGGCAUGCAUUCACACAUUCAUUCACUCAUUCAACUCAUACAGGCAUGCAUUCACACAUUCAUUUACUCAUUCAACUCAUACAGGCAUGCAUUCACACAUUCAUUCACUCAUUCAACUCAUACAGGCAUGCAUUCACACAUUCACGUAUUCAUUCACCUAAUUCACUAA